AGCGAACGCUGGCGGCAGGCCUAAUACAUGCAAGUCGAACGGCAGCACCGUAAGAGCUUGCUCUGAUGGGUGGCGAGUGGCGGACGGGUGCGGAAGACAGCGUAACCUAUUUUUUCGUGGGGGAUAACGCAGGGAUACUUACGCUAAUACCGCAUACGACCUACGGGUGAAAGCAGGUGAUCUUCGCACCUUGUGCGAGUGAACGAGACGAUGCCGCAUUAGCUAGUUGGCGGGGUAAAGGCCCACCAAGGCGACGAUCCGUAGCUGGUCUGAGAGGAUGAUCAGCCACACUGGAACUGAGACACGGUCCAGACUCCUACGGGAGGCAGCAGUAGGGAAUAUUGGACAAUGGGCGCAAGCCUGAUCCAGCCAUACCGCGUGGGUGAAGAAGGCCUUCGGGUUGUAAAGCCCUUUUGUUGGGAAAGAAAAGCAGCAGGUUAAUACCCCGCUGUUCUGACGGUACCCAAAGAAUAAGCACCGGCUAACUUCGUG
rnacentral:rRNA from 1 species